UUACUUUUACUUGUGUUUUAGAACAAUAAUAUAUUUUGAUUUUUAUUUGUUUUUAAAACUAUUUUUGUACAAUAUAUAAUUAACUUGCAAAAUGCAUUAUUUGUGCAUAAUUGUCCAGAAAAUACAUACACAAAUUGUGAAAUACAAAUUAAGAACUGAAAUCAAACAAGAGGAAAACAUAAUUAAAAUGUGAAUAUUUUUCAUCAUUUUAUUUAGUGUAUUGUCUCAUUUAACGAUAUUUAUCAUGUUUAUGCAUAUAGAUUGAAGAUUAAAGGAAACUGAUGACAAUCUUGAGUUUUCAACAGUCAGGUGUUCACUAUUCGGUACAAUAAUUGUAUAUUCUGGUGCAUGUAAUAGAUGAAGGUGUUAAUGGAUGUUAUUGUAGCAAUUAAACAAAGGACACGCACCUAGUUAAUCUCAUUUGAUGCUCUGAAUUGUGUAUUACCUUAGAGUGAAGCCACAGCUAAUGUUGGUCCUAUCAGGAAAAAUUAAUUGUACAGUUAGGAAGGAAAUAAUAUUUCAUGUUUUUUUUUAUUAAAUCCUUCAAAAGGAAGGUGACAAAUCUUUGUUUUUAUUUUCAUUUUAUAGCGUUUACAUUUCCUUUGCUCUUACAC
rnacentral:lncRNA from 1 species